rnacentral:rRNA from 1 species
UGUCAUGCCAAUGGCACUGCCCGGUAGCUAAAUGCGGAAGAGAUAAGUGCUGAAAGCAUCUAAGCACGAAACUUGCCCCGAGAUGAGUUCUCCCUGACCCUUUAAGGGUCCUGAAGGAACGUUGAAGACGACGACGUUGAUAGGCCGGGUGUGUAAGCGCAGCGAUGCGUUGAGCUAACCGGUACUAAUGAACCGUGAGGCUUAACCUUACAACGCCGAAG